AUUGAACGCUGGCGGCAGGCCUAACACAUGCAAGUCGAACGGUAACAGGAAGAAGCUUGCUUCUUUGCUGACGAGUGGCGGACGGGUGAGUAAUGUCUGGGAAACUGCCUGAUGGAGGGGGAUAACUACUGGAAACGGUAGCUAAUACCGCAUAACGUCUCAAGACCAAGGAGGGGGACCUUCGGGCCUCUUGCCAUCGGAUGUGCCCAGAUGGGAUUAGCUUGUAGGUGGGGUAACGGCUCACCUAGGCGACGAUCUCUAUCUGGUCUGAGAGGAUGACCAGCCACACUGGAAGUGAGACACGGUCCAGACUCCUACGGGAGGCAGCAGUGGGGAAUAUUGCACAAUGGGCGCAAGCCUGAUGCAGCCAUGCCGCGUGUAUGAAGAAGGCCUUCGGGUUGUAAAGUACUUUCAGCGGGGAGGAAGGGAGUAAAGUUAAUACCUUUGCUCAUUGACGUUACCCGCAGAAGAAGCACCGGCUAACUCCGUG
rnacentral:rRNA from 1 species